GUAUUCCGCUCCAUAGCGUAUAUUAAAGUUGUUGCAGUUAAAAAGCUCGUAGUUGAAUUUCGGGGUCAGUAGGUUGGUCAUGCCACUGGUAUGUACUGGUCUCACUGAUUCCUCCUUCCUGAUGAGCCGUAAUGCCAUUAAUUUGGUGUUGCGAGGAAUCUGGACUGUUACUUUGAAAAAAUUAGAGUGUUUAAAGCAGGCUAACGCUUGAAUACAUUAGCAUGGAAUAAUGAAAUAGGACGUUCGAUCUUAUUUUGUUGGUUUCUAAGAUUGACGUAAUGAUUAAUAGGGAUAGUUGGGGGCAUUAGUAUUCAAUUGUCAGAGGUGAAAUUCUUGGAUUUAUUGAAGACUAACUACUGCGAAAGCAUUUGCCAAGGAUGUUUUCAUUAAUCAAGAACGAAAGUUAGGGGAUCGAAGACGAUCAGAUACCGUCGUAGUCUUAACCAUAAACUAUGCCGACUAGGGAUCGGAUGAUGUUAAUUUUUUAAUGACUCAUUCGGCACCUUACGGGAAACA
rnacentral:rRNA from 1 species